UUAACUUUUAUUUAUUUACAUGCAACAUGUUAACAUUUAACAUGCAAAGAGUUACAGUUCAUAUAAGGAAAUCAGUCAAUUGAAAUGAUUCAUUAGGCCCUAAUCUAUGGAUUUCACAUGACUGGGAAUACAGAUAUGCAUCUGCUGGUCACAGAUACCUUUAAAAAAAAAAGUAGGGGCGUGGAUCAGAAAACCAGUCAGUAUCUGGUGUGAACACCAUUUGCCCCAUACAGCGCGACACUCUCUUUGCUCAGGCUGUUGAUUUUGGCCUGGGAAUGUUGUCCCACAGGCUGUCCGGAGUUGCUGGAUAUUGGUGGGUACUGGGAACAUGCUGUCGUGCACAUCGAUCCAGAGCAUCCUAAACAUGCUCAAUGGGUGACAUAUCUGGUCAGUCUGCAGGCCUGGGAGAACUGGGACAUUUUCAGCUACCAGGAAUGUGUACAAAUCCUUGCGACAUGCGGUGAUGGCGGUGGAUGAAUGGCACGACAAUGAGCCUCAGGAUCUCGUAACGGUAUCUCUGCAUUCAAAUUGCCUUCGAUAAAAUGCAAUUGUGUUCGUUGUCCGUAGAUCAUGCCUUCCCAUACCAUAACCCCACCGCCGCCAUGGGGCCCUCUGUUCACAACGUUGACAUCAGCAAACCACUGGCCCACAUGACGCCAUACAGAUGGUCUGCGGUUGUGAGGCCCGGUUGAACGUGCUGCCAAAUGCAGUGAAGACGCGUGCAGCGAUGUCAUCCUGUAGCCAGUCUACUCCUGUCAGUAGGUUCUCUCCUGUCACAGCACUGCAGCCGAUGAUACACCAGUGGUGGGUCUUAAUGUCAUCCAGACAUUAAGUGUGUGUGUAUAGGUGGGUACUGUGUUCUCACCUCUCCUAUGGUCUCUACUCAGUGAUCCAGGAAUGUCCUGUUUGUUGAGUAGCUCCUGGUGUGUGUGUGUGUGUGUGUGUGUGUGUGUGUGUGUGUGUGUGUGUGUGUGUGUGAGAGAGAGAGAGACACGGGUCAAAGUACGAGGAAAUGGAGACAGUUGAUGAAAUCAAAGAAUGGAACAAAACUAGCAAAAGUUGUAGUAGAAGACAAAGACUGGUCCAAUAAUGGACUCUUUUUUUGGACAAGGAGAUUAAUUUGGGAAAUCCAUUUGUAAUAUUGAGGAGAAAGCAGUGGGAAAUGUGGAUUAAAUCAAGGUGACUAGAAGCGCUGUUAUUUUGGUUAAUUGGGUCGAUGAAGAACAGAAGAAGCGUGCACUAAUCUGGAAAAUUGUCCACGUCAGAAGUAACAUGUAUUGACCUUCGGAGCAGGGCGCCUGCCAAAGGAGGAAAAGCUGCAGUCCAAGAAGUCCAAUUAGCUGGGUAUCAUAUCUGCUGCAGUCCAAGAAGUCCAAUUAGCUGGGUAUCAUAUCUGCUGCAGUCCAAGAAGUCCAAUUAGCUGGGUAUCAUAUCUGCUGCAGCCAAGAAGUCCAAUUAGCUGGGUAUCAUAUCUGCUGCAGCCAAGAAGUCCAAUUAGCUGGGUAUCAUAUCUGCUGCAGCCAAGAAGUCCAAUUAGCUGGGUAUCAUAUCUGCUGCAGCCAAGAAGUCCAAUUAGCUGGGUAUCAUAUCUGCUGCAGCCAAGAAGUCCAAUUAGCUGGGUAUCAUAUCUGCUGCAGCCAAGAAGUCCAAUUAGCUGGGUAUCAUAUCUGCUGCAGUCCAAGAAGUCCAAUUAGCUGGGUAUCAUAUCUGCUGCAGCCAAGAAGUCCAAUUAGCUGGGUAUCAUAUCUGCUGCAGCCAAGAAGUCCAAUUAGCUGGGUAUCAUAUCUGCUGCAGCCAAGAAGUCCAAUUAGCUGGGUAUCAUAUCUGCUGCAGCCAAGAAGUCCAAUUAGCUGGGUAUCAUAUCUGCUGCAGCCAAGAAGUCCAAUUAGCUGGGUAUCAUAUCUGCUGCAGUCCAAGAAGUCCAAUUAGCUGGGUAUCAUAUCUGCUGCAGCCAAGAAGUCCAAUUAGCUGGGUAUCAUAUCUGCUGCAGCCAAGAAGUCCAAUUAGCUGGGUAUCAUAUCUGCUGCAGCCAAGAAGUCCAAUUAGCUGGGUAUCAUAUCUGCUGCAGUCCAAGAAGUCCAAUUAGCUGGGUAUCAUAUCUGCUGCAGCCAAGAAGUCCAAUUAGCUGGGUAUCAUAUCUGCUGCAGUCCAAGAAGUCCAAUUAGCUGGGUAUCAUAUCUGCUGCAGUCCAAGAAGUCCAAUUAGCUGGGUAUCAUAUCUGCUGCAGUCCAAGAAGUCCAAUUAGCUGGGUAUCAUAUCUGCUGCAGUCCAAGAAGUCCAAUUAGCUGGGUAUCAUAUCUGCUGCAGCCAAGAAGAUUUUGUGGCUUGAAGACUUUACAGCAGAAGCACUGUGUUGGACCUGGUGAGAAUGAGGUUUUUAUAGAAAAGCAGGCUGAUUUUAUUUAGUUAAUUUCUUUUUUGGUCGUUUGUAUGAUAUUUUAUUUGUUCCCGAAUGUUUUCCUUUUCGUGAUCCUUAUUAUCCACCCGCACAGUAGGUGGCUAAAUGCACAAUGUUGCGAACGCCAUUAUACCAUAGAAGAAGAAAAAGAAGGAACGGAAGCUUACUUGGUUAUUCAUGAGAGUGUUUUUGUGGGUUAAGUCCUCCGUGUGUGUAAACGGUUUCAUUUCUCUUCAAGAUGCGGACGACGAGAGAGAGAGAGAGAGAGAGAGAGAGAGAAUAUCCCGCUCAGAAAUGCAGGACAGAUGCCGGGAAGUCCAGAAGAAUGACCCGUCUGCAUUACUUGUGACAUGACUUCCUGGCUUCAAGGCAUCUGAACAGAAUCUCCACUUGGAGUUCCAUUCUGGAAUAGGAAUGUGUGCUGAAUACCUGAUUCCAGACUCAUGAGACUGAUGCACUUUGUGAAAAUCCAGACGUGGGGAUGAAGUUUCCUGAAGGGAUUAACACGACCUCCACUGGGUUUGGGUGUUGUGGUCAGUUGCAUUGCAGUGUGGACUCCAACAUACUGGUUCUUCUGUAUAUGGCUGAACAGGGAGCCGUGAUGCCAACUAGACUGGUCCUGAUGGUGGUACCAGACAAGUCACUAGAAGAUGCCUGAUACUGAACUACCUCAAGGUCCUCUUCCAGGUCCUGACUGUUGUACCAGACUGGCCACUAGCAGGAAGCUCUUUGCUGUGACAGUGAAUGAAGGUUUCUGCCCCUCUGGUUGAGGUCCUGGUGUCUGCAGGGUUUGGAAAGGUGUGACUUUAGACGGCAUCUUAACGCUCCUUCCACAUGAAGCAUUCUGGAAUGUUGUAAAUGAUGAACUCCUCAUGACACCCAGUCUGUUGGCAGUCCUGUGCUCUGGGGCUGGAUCAAGGUCUGGCCUCCCAUCGGUCCUCCUGUGGGUUGGGCAGACACUGACAAGCCUGCUUUUGCUUUAUGGUGCAGGGGUAAGGUGGGCUGCCUGCCUGGAGGGAGGGUGUCUGGGUGGGGGCUUGACCCCAGACCCUGGACUGCUGGAUGGCUACAAUGACUGAACUAUAUGGACCUGAUUUGGUUUCAGAAUGUUCUGGAUGUAGUCUAGUAAUCUAAGAUGGGGAUUAUUUGGUUUUAAAACUGUUCUGUUUGUUUAGAUCUGGUUGGCUGCUGAAGUGUUGCUGUGCAGGUGGAGUGGGAAGGUGUGUAGGAUUAUUAUAAUGCACUGAGUAUAGAGGACAUUAACACCUUCCUAAUAUUGACUUUACCCUCAGAACAGCCUGUUGUCUACAAGGGGUCUAAGCGUUCCACAGGGAUGUUGGCCCGUGACACAACUGUGGGACGGCAUUGGAGUCAAGUUAGCUGGAUUUCCUUUGGGUGGUGGACCAGAGUUGAUACACAUGAGAAACUGUUGAGCUUGACAAACCCAGCAGUGUUUCAGUUGAUACAAACCGGUGUGCCUGGCACCUGCCAUGCCUCAUUCCAAGGAUCUUAAAUCCUUUGUCUUGUCCAUUCACCCUCUGAGUGGUACACAAUCCUUGUAUUGUGGUUUAAAAACCCUUUGAACCUGUCUGUUCAUCUACACUGAUUUAACCAGUCACUUCAAUAAGGGCUCGCUUUCACCUGGUCUGGUUAAUGUAUUGACCACUCAGUGGAUAUGUGUUGUAAUGGGAAAGGGGGCAGAUCAAUAUUAGGAAGAUGUUAAUGUUCUGUUGAAUGUUCCUCUUGGAUCAUCACACUGACCCAUUAAUGUGUUCUACACUACAUACUCUGAUGUGAUGAGUCAUCAUUACCGCCCCAGUCUGAUGUAACGCUGACUGAUUGGUUACUCUCUGAUCAAGUCAUCUCAUACCUUGUGUAUUAGUCCCUACAGGAUCACCAGGGUUUAAUUCUCACUAUUUUCCCUCCAGCUCUCCUGUUUUACACCUGCAAGACCUCUUGCACUCCUGAUUGGUCAGCAAGGAAGUGGGGGAAACCAGGCCAAGUCAAUUCAACCCUGACUGUUUUGAUGUAUAAAUAAAUCUACAAAUGAA